rnacentral:rRNA from 1 species
UACAGAGGGUGCAAGCGUUGUUCGGAAUUACUGGGCGUAAAGCGUGCGUAGGCGGUUUGCCGUGUCCUGUGUGAAAGCCCCGGGCUCAACCUGGGAAUUGCAUGGGAAACUGGCAGGCUUGAGUGUGGCAGAGGAGGGUGGAAUUCCGCGUGUAGCAGUGAAAUGCGUAGAGAUGCGGAGGAGCACCGAUGGCGAAGGCAGCCCUCUGGGCCAACACUGACGCUCAGGCACGAAAGCGUGGGGAGCAAACAGG